AGGCUAACCUGUCUGGAAGAGAAGGACACAUGGAGAAGGCCCAGGGAUCACUGAUGUCAGAAGCUCAGUGAGACCUAACUAACACUUGAGUGCCCACUGCUGGGGAAUGACUGACCCAUAGUGAACUAAUAUGAUAAUUGCAAAAUGAAGCCUUGUCUUAUAAUUUCAUCAGGGAAUAAUUACUUUAUUGCUCUACUGUAACCAGACAUCAUCUUGUCAACUGCAGAAUAAAACCAGAAAAAGUCAUCUGGCUUCCAGGAGAAGAAGUUGUGUCACUCAUGCAGGAGCAGCUUGUGGUGCACAGGUGGAGUCUCAAACUGGCAGGAAGGUACAAAGAUUCAGACAGAGGAAGGGAUAACACCAAGAAAGAUUUAACAGCAGCUACUGGAUACUGAAAGGAUUACCCACCAGAUAGUGCUCCUCUGAUGCUGAGGGGUUUGCUGGAGUGAAAUGUAGGCCAGAAAAUCAGAGCUGGAAUUCAAGUCCCCAAACCAAAUAUAGCCAGUUAAUUCACAUUGACUUCAAAAUGGAAUAAUGAGGUGACUAAGUACCACAGACCCAUAUCUGGGCUCUAAUGUUUAUUAUUUGCAUUUCCUUAACCAUUGCAUCUGUGGGAUGACUUAAGUUUUUCUUUCACAUGGAAUCAAAAAAAAUUCCCUGAACCAAUGCUGCUCAUGAAAUGACCACAGAUAUUUGUUUCAUGAUCCGUCAGAAGUUUUUCCAAAACUA